UACGUAGGGUGCGAGCGUUGUCCGGAAUUACUGGGCGUAAAGAGCUCGUAGGUGGUUUGUCGCGUUGUUCGUGAAAACCGGGGGCUUAACCCUCGGCGUGCGGGCGAUACGGGCAGACUUGAGUACUGCAGGGGAGACUGGAAUUCCUGGUGAAGCGGUGGAAUGCGCAGAUAUCAGGAGGAACACCGGUGGCGAAGGCGGGUCUCUGGACCGAUACUGACGCUGAGGCGCGAAAGCGUGGGGAGCAAACAGG
rnacentral:rRNA from 1 species